GCCGGUGUUUUACUUGCAUGUGAACCACCUCAUUCCAUUCCGAACUGAGAAGUGAAAGCGUGUGAGACCAAUGAUACUGCAUUAUGUGUGGGACAGUAGGUUAUGCCGGUC
rnacentral:rRNA from 1 species